ACUCUCCCUGCCGUCGCCGCCCGGGACCGGGUGACAUUGAGGUUUUCGUCUAUCGCCGCUGGGCCGAUAGGGCUUCUUUUUAAGAUUUGGCUUUCCAACUCCCACUUUGCAGUUGUGUCAGCCAAUCACGACAGCUUCCCAGACUUCCGUGCAAGUGCCUGCUUUGAGGCCAAGGUGGCCAUAAAUGGCAGCUCCUCAGGCUCCUCCACAAUCUCUGGUUUCUUAUGUUUCUCCAUGAGCUCAGCUUUUUCAUCAACUCCAAUGCUUCAAGCCGAAGUCAUUAGUGAAUGUUCUACAAUCCUUCAGCUGCAGCUCCAGACCUUCACUCCUCCAGCUUCUCCUACAUCCAUCUAACCCUCAAUUCCUACAUUAAAUCUCUUUAUUCCAGAA
rnacentral:lncRNA from 1 species